CCCGCUGCAAGUGGAUAAUAUUAAUAGUGUAAAAAUAUACAAGUGUUCGGUAAACAGGAAGUUAUCGAGUGAUGACUCUGAAAACGAAUCACACGGUAUAGCUGACUUAUAUAAACCUUGAAACCAAAUUUCAGAAAUCCUUGUAUUAUAGUUCCUGAGAAAUUGUGACGAAAUUUUUUUACUUGGCUAUCAUGUUUAAAAUCAUACAAGUGUUCGGUAAACAGGAAGUUGGCGAGUGAUGAAUCUGAAAACGCAUCACACGGUAUAGCUGACUUAUAUCAAGAAGCCUGAAACCAAAUUUCAGAAAUCCUAAUAGUGUAGUUCCUGAGAAAAAUGUGACGAAAAUUUUUCAACUUGGCUAUCAUGUUUAAAAUCAUACAAGUGUUCGGUAAACAGGAAGUUGUCGAGUGAUGAAUCUGAAAACGCAUCACACGGUAUAGCUGACUUAUAUCAAGUCUGAAACCAAAUAUCAGAAAUCCUGGUAGUGCAGUUCCUGAGAAAAAUGUGACGAAAAAUUUUCAACUUGGCUAUCAGGUGUAAAAAUGAUACAAGUGUUCAGUAAACAGGAAGUUGUCGAGUGAUGAAUCUGAAAACGCAUCACACAGUAUAGCUGACUUAUAUCAAGCCUGAAACAAAUUUCAGAAAUCCUGGUAGUGUAGUUCCUGAGAAAAAUGUGACGAAAAAUAUUCAUGGGACGGACGGACUGACCGACAGACUGACGGACUGAUGGACUGACGGAAGGACAGACAGAAUAAAACAGUAUACCCCCCUUUUUUUCAAAGCGGGGGUAUAAAAACCUUUCUGUGUUAUGUGUGGUUGGGGUCUUAAAUAAUAAACCUGAUGCAUUCAAUUCUGGAACAGCCCUAUUUAGUUUAUAUAUUUUUUUUGAAAUCAGCUUCAAGUUUAAAAACCAAUACUGACAUUUCAUAUGUAUUAACUAUUAAAGCAAAAAUGUCCAUUAAUAUCAUUGUGAAUUUAUGCAUCCAGUUAAAAAAAUAAGUAUAGUAUAUGUAACACUAAUGUGUGAAAAAUUGUAAAAUGAAGUUUGUUUUCAUGUUUUAAUGAUUACAAAAAUGUAUUUACAUAUGAUGCAGCACCAAACAUUUACAAUGACAUAAAAUACAAUGUGCACAACAUUACAACUAAUUAUUACAACUAUAUUUUAAUGAAUUCUCACUAAUUUUUCAUGUCAUCAAAUUGGAAUUUUCUUUGAAAAACAAUUUAUCCUAAAUUCUUCAUAGCAUGGUCAUCAAUUUAUAAGGUUCUAAAAAAGUACAAAUAUAUUACACUGUAUCCUAUCCUAUUUAAGAACACAUUAUUUUUGAAAAUUCAAGUUGACGAAAUAAAUGCUUCACUGACAGUCUGAUACGAUAUGAGCUAUGAACAUGGUUACAAUGACAUGAUAAAAUGAAUGAAUUACAAUGGUCAGAUCUCAGCAAUACGAUUCUUUAUAAGA
rnacentral:lncRNA from 1 species